rnacentral:rRNA from 1 species
GGCUCCUUGUAAAAUUUAAAUAAGGAGUCGAACCUGCCCAGUGAAAUUUUUUAACGGCCGCGGUACUCUGACCGUGCAAAGGUAGCAUAAUCAUUUGCCUUAUAAUUGAAGGCUUGUAUGAAUGGUUUGACAAGAGUGAUGCUGUCUCUUUAUAAUUUAUUAAAAUUUUAUUUAUAGGUGAAAAAGCCUAUAUUUUAUUGAAAGACAAGAAGACCCUAUCGAGCUUAAAAUAAAUCAAUAAAAUUAAAUUAAUAUUUAAUUAUAAAUUUUAUUAUUGAAUACUUUAGUUGGGGCGACUAAGGAACAAAAAAAGCUUCCUUUUAUUUUAUAUACAGACAAGUAAUGAUCCAAAAUUUUUUGAUUAAAGAAAUUAGUUACCGUAGGGAUAACAGCAUUAUCUUUUUUAAGAGUUCUAAUCGAAAAAAAGGUUUGUGACCUCGAUGUUGGACCAGAAUAUCCUAAAGAUGCAGCCGUCUUUAAGGGUUGGUCUGUUCGACCAUUAAAAUUCUACGUGAUCUGAGUUCAGACCGGCGUGAGCCAGGUCAGUUUCUAUCUUCAAUUUUUAUAAUAGACUUAGUACGAAAGGACCAGCUUAUUACAAAGUUUUGUUUUUUUUGACAAAAUAUAAAGAAUCAUUAAAUUAAUAAUUUUAUUAUUAAUCAAAUUAGCAAAAUUUAAUGCAAUUGACUUAGGAUCAAUAGAUAUAGGUGAAAUACCUUUAUUUGAUAUAUAGAAGUGGCAGAUAAA